rnacentral:tRNA from 1 species
AGGCAUAUAGCUCAGUGGUAGAGUGCAUGCUUAGCAUGCACGAGGUCCUGGGUUCAAUUCCCAGUACCUCCA